CUCAAUAACUAGGCAGAUCGCAUGGUCCAGUACCGGCGACACAUUGCAGGAGGAAGUGCCUUAUCAACUUUCGAUGGUAGUUUAUGUGCCUACCAUGGUUAUCACGGGUAACGGAGAAUUAGGGUUCGACUCCGGAGAGGGAGCCUUAAAAACGGCUACCACAUCCAAGGAAGGCAGCAGGCGCGCAAAUUACACAAUGACAGCAAGCUGUUGAUGUAGUGACAAGAAAUAACGAGACGGUUCUCUAUGAGGCCCGUCAUCGGAAUGGGUACAACUUAAACCCUUUAACGAGGAUCAAUUGGAGGGCAAGUCUGGUGCCAGCAGCCGCGGUAAUUCCAGCUCCAAUAGCGUAUAUUAAAGUUGUUGCGGUUAAAAAG
rnacentral:rRNA from 1 species